rnacentral:rRNA from 1 species
AUUGAACGCUGGCGGCAUGCCUUACACAUGCAAGUCGAACGGCAGCACGGGAGCAAUCCUGGUGGCGAGUGGCGAACGGGUGAGUAAUAUAUCGGAACGUGCCCAGUCGUGGGGGAUAACGUAGCGAAAGCUACGCUAAUACCGCAUACGAUUUAUGGAUGAAAGCGGGGGAUCGCAAGACCUCGCGCGAUUGGAGCGGCCGAUAUCAGAUUAGGUAGUUGGUGAGGUAAAGGCUCACCAAGCCGACGAUCUGUAGCUGGUCUGAGAGGACGACCAGCCACACUGGGACUGAGACACGGCCCAGACUCCUACGGGAGGCAGCAGUGGGGAAUUUUGGACAAUGGGCGCAAGCCUGAUCCAACAAUGCCGCGUGCAGGAUGAGGGCCUUCGGGUUGUAAACUGCUUUAGUACGGAACGAAACGGCGAGCUCUAAUACAGCUUGCUAAUGACGGUACCGUAAGAAUAAGCACCGGCUAACUACGUGCCAGCCGCCGCAGUAA